AAGGCUACAUUUUUUUGAGAUAAACAAUUCUACUAUACACCGUCGUGCCAUAAAACCCAAAACGCCAGCGCCACCACCUCGUUUCGCCGGCGGCCCUCCCCGGCGCGGCGAGCUCGCCUACCUCGUCCACGAGAUCCACCCGCCCCCGCCUCCCUCUUCUCCGGUCGACGGCGCAGGUGAGCUCCAGUCGACAUCCUUCCCCCCCUGGGAUCCUCCCCUGUCCUGGAGGCCCAAACCCUAGCUGGCGUGGAGGCGGCUGGUGGCGCGGCGGGCGGGCGUCAGGCCAGAUGGAAGAUACCUUGGCUAAUAUAAGGAAGAAGCUGAAGAGGCAGAAGAAGGGGAAGGAGGAGGGCGAUGGCGUGGCGGCGGUGGCAGGAGAAGGGGAUGAGGGCGGCGAGGUGCUCGCCGCCCAGCAGGAAGAUCUGCACGGCGGAGAUGAUGAUAUGGGCGAAGGCGUCGCCGACGAGAACGGCAAUCUGGAGGGUCACGUGAAUGUGGUUCUUGGCUUGAAAUAUUCAGGCGAUUUAGGGUUGGAGGACUCCCUGUCUGUGCUCUUUAGGAAACCUGGCCGGAAGCCCCGGCAGCAGGUCUCCAGUAAGGAGGAAGAAGAUGUUGAAGUUGCUGAUUCACAUAAGGAAGAAGAAGGUGUUGAAGUUGCUAAUUCACAUAAGAAGGAAGACCAAGGUGUUGAAGUUGCCGAUUCACAUGCUGAGGAGGUUCUAGACACCAGAUCUGGUUUGGCUUUGGAUACGCCGGCCGUAGGCAAGAAAAGGCGAAGGCGUCGCACCAAGGAAGAAAUGAGGAUUGCUGCGGAGAAUUCUGCAACCGCAAUGGUCAGCGAUCGAUUGCUCAGGAGGUCAAAGGCGAAGCCAAAGGCUAGCCACUCUGAUAAGCCCUCUAAGGUUGGCACCAAUGAAGCUUCUGGAGAGUUAGCUUCCGAGUCACCCCCUGAUUCGGAAAAGAAGUCUCUUGAGAAAGAAGAGGCUGCGGAUGAUGGUUUGUGUUGCGUGUCGUUGGGAGAAACGCUUCUACAAGAUGUGGAAACCAGUAGAGUAGUGGAGGAUGGUUCUAGGAACUCUUCUGAUGGGGCAAGUCAUCCUGUUGAAGUUUCAGCUAGGGAUAGUAAUUUCCCGGGCUUAAAUCCUUGUUCAGCAGGACCACAUGCUGAAGUAGCAUCGCAAAGUGCAGUAAAUGCAUCCGCUGAUGGUAUUUCUGAUGCGCAGACAUGUUCCGAAACAUUAGCAGAUGAUAGAAAUGCUGACGCUGAUUGUUCUCAGGAUGAGCCACCGGUACCAGCCAUCAGAAGGAAAACUGGUCCAAAAUCAAAAGAAGGGCCCAAAAAACCUGUUAGAAGAAAAGAGUUGCCUGUGGCUGGUACUAUUGAUGAACCAGUUGAGAUAGUAGAAAGUGAUGUGUCGUCGAAGCAGCGACGCAAAAAUAAAAUUCUUUUGGCAAGAUCUAGCACUUUGCAAUCUAAUUCCAUUCUGGCCAAUGAGGCAAGUCGUACAGGCGACCUUAAAUAUGGCAAUAUCAUACCAAAUGCAGCUGUGACAGCAGAAGAAAACUUAGAUCAGCCAGCUGCUUUUGGGGUUCGUGGAUCCUGUGUCGCCAAGAUUUCACUUCCCUCUUGUAACAUGGCAGCAUCUGCAAAAGAAAUAGAUAUUGUUGAUGUGGCAGCACCAUCUGAUUUGGAGGGCACACAGAAUGCGCCAAAGGUGAAACGUGUAACACGUAGUGCUAAAAAGCGUAAAUAUGGUGACAUGGCAUAUGAGGGCGAUCUUGAUUGGGAAACUCUAAUGCAAGAGCAGGGGCUGUUCUCGAACCCCUCAGCUGGAUUUGCAGAUAAAGCUGUCAAAUCAAAAGAUAAAAUUAAAGCUUUGGAAGUUUCCGAGAAUGGACGUGUUGCUGCAGUAAGUGCUGGCCUGAUGGCGAAGGCGGUUUCUCCAAUUGAAAAGAUAAAGUUCAAGGAUGUGCUGAAGCGCAAGGGUGGCCUUCAGGACUACCUGGAGUGCAGGAACAUGAUCUUAAGUUGCUGGAACAAGGAUGUCAAACAUCUAUUGGAUCUUGCAGAUUGCGGUCUUUCUAAUGUUCCCUUGAAAGAUGAUGAUUUGCCGCGUCAAACACUUAUACGCGAUGUGUAUUUUUUCUUAGAUCAGAAUGGUUACAUAAAUACUGGAAUUGCAUCAGCCAAGGUGAUGAAGGGUCACGGAACUCCUUGUUCUGAAGUUGUGGAAAUAGCCAAGCUAAAUGAAUCACGUGAAAUGAAGCCAGUCAGCUUUCAAGGUGGCAUUGACUCUGUAUCUUCUCAGAAUAAAGGUCAUGAUAAUGGUACUUUUGGACCUUUGACAGAAGAAUCAAAGGAAAAUAAUGUCCCUGACACUCCCUGUGAUGCCCAAGCUUUGAUACCUCCCUUACAGUCCAAAGUGCAGAUAUUUGAAGAAAAUAAUUUAGAUGUAUCAACUGAAGGUAGAGAUGCAUCACUGCCAUCCAUCCAUAUUAGUUCAGUUGGAAACACUGAAGGCCCCAUUCUCCAUCAACCAGAAGCAACUAUUGUAGAACAUUCUCCAAACAACUGUGAAUUAAACCAUAGAGCUGAAUCUGUCGGGUCUUGCAAAAGGAUAAUCAUUGUUGGAGCUGGCCCAGCAGGUUUAACUGCUGCACGCCAUUUGCGGCGUCAAGGUUUUGCUGUUACUGUUCUUGAAGCGCGUGACAGGAUUGGUGGUCGUGUUUUUACAGAUCGUACAUCGCUUUCAGUCCCUGUCGAUUUGGGUGCUAGCAUUAUUACGGGUGUGGAGGCUGAUAUAGCUACUGAAAGAAGGGCCGAUCCAUCCUCUUUGAUUUGUUCUCAGCUUGGUCUUGAACUGACUGUACUGAAUAGUGCUUGCCCUCUCUAUGAUGUUGUAACUGGCAACAAGGUUCCUGAUGAUUUGGACGAUGAUAUGCAAUCUGAAUACAAUGGUCUUGUUGAUGAAAUGGAACAACUUUUUGCACAAAAUGGUGAAAGUGCUAUGGGUUUAUCCCUUGAGGAUGGGCUGGAAUAUGCUCUUAGGAAGAAACGUGGAGCUCAUGCUGUUUCUUCGGUGGGACAGGAUAAUCAGUUAUUAAGUAGAUCCAAUGCAGGAGGCUUAGACAUUUCUGGAAGUGCUUCAACAGAAAAGGAGAUAGCUGGUUGUGGGAGGGAUGAUAAGAUAGAUGUUCUCAGCCCUAUCGAAAGAAGAGUUAUGAAUUGGCACUUUGCACAUUUAGAGUAUGGUUGUGCUGCAAUGCUCAACUCCGUCUCUCUUCCAUAUUGGAACCAGGAUGAUGUGUAUGGAGGGUUCGGAGGACCUCAUUGUAUGAUUAAAGGUGGUUAUGGCGCUGUCCUUGAGAGCCUUGCAGAAGGGGUUGAUAUUCAGUUAAACCAUGUGGUAACUGAAAUAAUUUACAGGUCCGAGGAGUCAGCUGCUAGGGGUAUUGAUGGGAAAACUGUUAAAGUUUCCACUUCAAAUGGAGGUGAAUUUGCGGGAGAUGCUGUGUUGAUCACUGUUCCUCUUGGUUGUUUGAAAGCAAAUGCAAUCAAAUUUUCUCCUUCCUUGCCAGACUGGAAAAUCUCUUCCAUUGACAAGCUUGGAUUUGGUGUUCUAAAUAAAAUAGUAUUGGAGUUUCCUGAGGUCUUUUGGGAUGAUGAUAUGGAUUACUUUGGUGCAACUGCAGAAGAAACCGAUUUAAGGGGACAAUGCUUUAUGUUUUGGAAUCUCAAAAAGACACUUGGGGCACCAGUUCUUAUAGCUCUACUUGUUGGGAAGGCUGCUAUAGAUGGACAAAGUAUCAGCUCUGAUGUUCAUGUUAGUAAUGCCAUGGUUGUUCUCCGUAAGCUCUUUACAGAUGCUGCUAUACCAGAUCCAGUAGCAUCAGUUGUCACAAACUGGGGCCUUGAUCCUUAUAGUAGAGGUGCUUACUCUUAUGUUGCAGUAGGAGCAUCAGGACAAGAUUAUGACAUUCUGGGACGGCCAGUUGCAAACUGUUUAUUUUUUGCUGGUGAAGCAACAUGCAAAGAGCACCCAGAUACUGUUGGUGGUGCAAUUUUAAGUGGUCUUCGAGAAGCAGUUCGGAUUAUUGAUUUGGUACACAGUGGUAAGGAUUAUGUUGCUGAGGUGGAAGCUCUACACACAGACCAAACACAGUCAGAUAGUGAAAGAAAUGAAAUGAGAGAUAUGUCGAAUAAACUUGAAGCACAUGAACUUUCAACUGCUUUAUGCAAAAAUUCGUCUGAUGCAUCAUAUGCAGUAGUUAGCAAGGAAUCUUUACUGCAAGAAAUGUUCUUCAGUGCGCAAACUACAUCAGGGCGCCUACAUUUGGCUAAGGAGCUACUGAAGCUUCCUCCAAAUGCUCUUAAAUCAUUUGCUGGGUCUAAAGAAGGACUAACCAAACUAAACUCUUGGAUACUUGAUUCAUUGGGAAAAAAUGCAACUCAACUAUUGCGGCAUUGUGUGCGCUUGCUUCUGCUUGUUUCGACUGAUCUGCUAGCUGUUCGCUUGUCUGGAAUUGGGAGGACUGUAAAAGAAAAGGUUUGUGUGCAUACAAGUCGAGAUAUACGUGCUAUAGCUCGCCAGUUGGUCAGUAUGUGGAUAGAAGUUUUCCGUAAAGAAAAGGCUAGCAACGGUGGACUCAAAAUGCUGCGCCGAAUGCCAUCAGUUGAAUCGAACAAGACUAGAAGUAAGGGUCUACAAUCUGGAAUGCCUACUUCGCAUUUGUCAAAUGAAGCAGGUGCACGGCGUGUAAGAUCUGCUGGAAGCCAUUCACCGCACAAAACUAGCAAGAAGCCAGAUAACAAGGCUUUGAAAUUAGAAAGCAUAAUGGCUACAAGGUCUGAUGGCAGCUCAAUUCGUUCUCAGAAGCAACAUCAUGAUGUAGAACCCAAGGUGGACCAUGGCAUGGUUAUGUCCGAGGAAGAAGCUGCUGCAUUUGCUGCUGCUGAGGCUGCUCGAGCUGCUGCCAUAGCAGCUGCACAGGCAUAUGCAUCUGCCGAUGCAGCGAUAAGUGUGCCUAGGGAACUCCCUAAGAUACCAUCAUUUCGUACUUUUGCGAGGCGUGAUCAUCAUUUGGAUGAAUCUGAUACAAGAAAGAAAGUGAUAAGUGACAACCUUGGGAGACUUGAAUGCAUAUCAGAGAUUGAUUCCAGGAAUGGAAAAACUAAGAACUCAUCAGCUGGGCAGGCUGAUUGCCCUGAUGUUGACAGCUCGAAGAUGACUAUUGAUAACUGUACUCAGAGGAGCUUUUCAAACGAGAAAACCUGCCCAAUCAGUAUAAGGGAUAAUUCUGUAGAUAGUGGAGCUGUAGACAGUCGGUUUACUAGGGCAUGGGUUGAUACAGAUACAAUCUGCAUUGAUGGUGUCAAAGAUCCUUUAGCCAUUGAGAGGUGGCAAGCACAAGCAAUGGAAGCAGAUAAAGAAUUCUACAGCCGGAUAUGCAUACCUGAAGAAGAUUCAAGUAGCCAAAAGCAGACAUGUAAAAGUUCUGCCUCGCAGGUUGCAGAGAGCAAACCUGCAUCUGAAGGACAAUUGCGAGGUGUAGAACAUAUAAAACAGGGGCUUAUAAAUUUCAUAGGCACACUGCUGAUGCCUCUUUACAAAAGUAAAAAGAUCGACAGGGAGACGUACAAGACAAUGAUGCGAAAAGCUGUCACGAAGAUCAUGGAUGCAUGCACCGAAGGAGAGAAGCUGAUGACUUCUAACGAAUUUCUUGAUUUUAGAAGGAAAACUAAGAUUCAAACCUUUGUGGACAAGUUGGUUGAGAGGCAUUGGCAUGUGGCUCCAGCUCCCAAAUCAUAACAUGUACAUAUCCAGGAAGCUGUUACAUGUAGGGAAGCAAAAUUCUCUUUGCAGACUAUGCUGUCGCUCAGCAGGCAUUGGCUCCCUGAGAACUAAAAAAGAAACCAGACAUUGUUUCAUAAGCCUUGGGUGCAAAAUCACCAUGUUGCCUGUAACUCAGAUUAUCAGGGAGACUUUCUGGAAGACCAUGAACCAGAUUGGCACAUUCAUCCUUGUGUAUUGCAUUUGAUAUCACCACCAUCAUGAUCGUGGCAAUGUGCGUUUUGAGACCGGUGAAUGUUAGAUCUCAGUGCACUCGACAAACAUGGCAACAUGCAGUGAGCUUGCACUCGACAAACAUGGCAACAUGCAGUGAGCUUGCACUCGACAAACAUGGCACACAUGCAUAUGAAGAUCUGGGAUUCAAGCGUUCUGCAUGGUCUCAUAUGCAAUGAUGGCUCAAUUUCACUCCUACUCCGGCAACACCUCUGCAGGACCUUCUGGACUUCGUGGCAGGGCAUCAAGAGAUGGCUUCACAUUGUGACUUAUUUCCUAUCUGGCUCUGGAUAACAUUCUGUGCUGCUUACCGACUGUAGCAGGGGCAUCGAGCAAGAGAUGGCUUCCUAACCUUGCUGGCUUGUUCUCUGUCAACUACGAAGAAGAUACCAAGAUACGCUGAUCUGGAUGUCACUGCAAGUCCUCUGUUUCGCAGAAAGAAAUUCAGCCAGUAUGUUAACUUGUGUUGCGGUGGUUCGUAUCCGGAUUCCAGAAGGUAAUCAAUCUCCCAGACGUUAGAUGGCAUUGAAGGAGGAGGAAGGUUUGGCUGGAGCACCUGAGCUCUGGCAGCCAGGAAAAGAGUAGGUGAUGGCGCGGGGGCGGAACUGGUGGAUGCAUAGGCAGCGACAGUGGAGCUUAAGCGUAACGGCAGGCCUGCCAUAUCUCACAAUCAGCCAUAACUAUAUCUCCGAAGACACUGUUAAUGAGGCCCACUACUCUUAGCCGAGCAAAUUCUUCCUUGGAGCAUGUCCUUUUUUUUUACAUGGUCGUGGGAGUAUGUCGAAUUGUCGAUCAAGUGAAAGACUGGGAAGCUGGCUGGGGGCCUGGGGCGGCAGCCUUGAAACCUGUACUUACCUCCACGGGGAUCUAUAUUAGAUCAAAACGUUCUCUAGUGCAAUUUCUAAAGGCGAUUGGGUAAAACCAUAUGCAAAUAAAAGACCAAUCCAAUGAAGGAGAUUACAAAAUUAUAUUCAA